rnacentral:rRNA from 1 species
UGCAGUCGAGGGGUAUAGUUCUUCGGAACUAGAGACCGGCGCACGGGUGCGUAACGCGUAUGCAAUCUACCUUUUACAGAGGGAUAGCCCAGAGAAAUUUGGAUUAAUACCUCAUAGUAUAUAGCCCUGGCAUCAGGAUUAUAUUAAAGUCACAACGGUAAAAGAUGAGCAUGCGUCCCAUUAGCUAGUUGGUAAGGUAACGGCUUACCAAGGCUACGAUGGGUAGGGGUCCUGAGAGGGAGAUCCCCCACACUGGUACUGAGACACGGACCAGACUCCUACGGGAGGCAGCAGUGAGGAAUAUUGGACAAUGGGCGCAAGCCUGAUCCAGCCAUGCCGCGUGCAGGAUGACGGUCCUAUGGAUUGUAAACUGCUUUUAUACGAGAAGAAACACUCCUUCGUGAAGGAGCUUGACGGUAUCGUAAGAAUAAGGAUCGGCUAACUCCGUGCCAGCAGCCGCGGUAAUACGGAGGAUCCAAGCGUUAUCCGGAAUCAUUGGGUUUAAAGGGUCCGUAGGCGGUUUAAUAAGUCAGUGGUGAAAGCCCAUCGCUCAACGGUGGAACGGCCAUUGAUACUGUUAGACUUGAAUUAUUAGGAAGUAACUAGAAUAUGUAGUGUAGCGGUGAAAUGCUUAGAGAUUACAUGGAAUACCAAUUGCGAAGGCAGGUUACUACUAAUUGAUUGACGCUGAUGGACGAAAGCGUGGGUAGCGAACAGGAUUAGAUACCCUGGU